GUGUGUGUGUAGGUGUAAGCAGUAACGGCGGUAACAAUGGCCCAGCCGGGUACCAACCUGUCCCCCAGAGUAAUACCAGCGCUAACAACGGUAACACAGCCAGCGGGACCCAGCCUCUCCUCCAGGGCGACGAAAAACCCGACCCGGAGCCAACAAGCCUCUCGGGCAAUGAAGACAUAUAACUUUAGUUUGGGAUAUAUAAAAUAAAAUGGGGAACUUGAAAAUCAACAAGUACAAUCAUCAAUGUGGUCUUGUAUUGUAGCACUUUGUAACUAUGAAAACAAAGUGAUCAGCACUAAAAUAUAGUUAUAUCGUUUGUCUCAAGUGGCUAAAAGUUAGGCCAGCUUGUAGGUAGAGUGAAACCUAAAAAGUAGAAAGUGUGACCUGUAAUAAAUGUAAUUAAUAUGAAUUCAGAAGCACCUUAAAGAGACUCCUGAAAGAUCAAAAGUAUGUUUGUAUAGAGAUCUUAUAAAAAGCCAAAGAUUUAAAACUAUAUCUUUGCUAGAAUUAAGGGGAUGUUAUUAGUAAAGGAGACAUAGGUGGAGAUUUUUAUACUUACAUUUUAUACAAAAUUGUUCUCAAAUCUCACUAGAAUUAGAAAAACCAGGGUGACAGUCUGCUUAAGGCUUGCUUGUGUUUAUUGGGGGGGAGGGGGCUUUGGGACAUCUGGGCUGAAUAAGGGAGGGAACCUUUAAAGGGUCUGUAUAAAUGUAAAGUAUUGAACAGCACGAAGGACAUAAAUAUCACUUGAGUGAUUCAAAUGAAUUAAAAAACAAAAAUACCCCAAAAGAAGAACUAGCUAUAGAAAAUGAAAAUGUUAAAAAAAGGUGCCAUUUUCAAGGACUACAUUGGUGCCUUUGCUUGAUUAAAUGUAUGUAAUAUAAAUCAAAGUAUACUUCUAGUAUUACUGCUGAUACCGGCCUUUAAAUUUCUGUCCUGAUCGUCUUCACUUUAUCUCGCCACGUUAUAACCGUGAACUUGCUGCGAAAUUUAGAUUUUCUGCAGAUAAUCAAUUAUCAAUUUAUUGUUGUCUAACUCAAUCUGCACUUAUUACUACUCAAAGUACACAUAUCCUGUUUGUGGUUUAGGAUUAUGUAACUUGAGGCUGUUUCAAAGUCACCAGAACUGUGGAGAUACUUAUAAAAAUAAUAUAUGUGAUAAGUAGUAAACAGGCUACAAUUAUAUAAAUACACAGUCACAAAGUUAGCCACAAAGUUUUAGCCUGGAUUACAAAUGAAGUCCACAAUGUAUUUUAAACUGGUGAUAAGCUGUGGUAAUAUUAAAACAAGUGGUGUGAGUUAUAUAGGAAUGCUUUUAGUCACUUAAUUCUCUCUGUUGUAAAUGCACUUUUAUUUUUAUCAAGCGAGUAGAAUUAAAUAUAAGUUGCAAAUAUGCAUUUUUAGAAGCUAUGAAUGUGAAAGUUUGUCUGAAAUCUCUGAGCUGAUAAAAUAUUUAUGCUCAUGUGUUAGUUAUCUGGGUUUAUCGUUAGGAAUUUUAAGAUUAUGUACCUGUUGGCCUUUUUAAAUGAGGAAUUGAAUCACUUUUUUUUAUCCUAGAUGAAAUUAACAUUGUUUGUUUGAAGAAUCAAGAAAUGUCACUUAAAACUGUUUAUUUUGGUUAUUUACUGGUAAGUCGUGUUUAUACUAUCUCUCUCUCUCUCUUUCGUGUGGUGUUCUAAUUACAAUCAUAACAUAUUCAUGUAAUGAUUGUUUGCUUAAGCACAUGUCAUUUUAUUUUCUGGAUUUAAAAUGUUUGUUGUUUUUGGGUUAUGCGUAUUGUUUUCCUGCUGUGUAUUUACACCCCUGAAAGAUGAAAUAGUUUAAACAUGUUUUUGAAAAUACACAAAAAAACAUUCUAAGAAAUCUCCAAUGAAUUCAGGAAUCUCAUCAGUACAGGUGUGUGUUUGUGUAACAUUAAAAUAUGUAUUUGCUCAAAGACACCAUGGAUUGUAAAACAAUAGCAGACAAAUAUCAGAUAUUUGUAGCUUCUGUCUAAUAAAAGUUUAAAUUAGUUGAAGUCCCAAAUUUUCCAGUUUGAAUAAAAUCCAAAUUCACUAAAGGACAAAGCCAAGACGUGGACUCUUUCAAUGUUAAUGAACGUAGUGUUUGAACUCUGAAGACAUUUGUCCUGCACAUAAUGUACUGGUGACAUAAAUAAAUAAAUAUUUUUUUAAACGUACAA